rnacentral:lncRNA from 1 species
AAAGCACUGAGGAAAGUGGAAUUCUACAAGAAAUUGUUGAAGAGGAUGGGAAAAUCACAGAUAUUGACUUUUUGCCAGUAAAUUGCAUUGAUAAUGGAGACAAAACCAAACUUGUUUAUCAUUGUAAAUCACACGAAGAAGCAUUGCAUUGUAUCAAAAAAUAUGAAUUAAGAACAACAACACGAUUUGUGGUGUAUUAUGCUAAUAAAAAUUUUGGUAACACAGAUACAAUUACAACGAAUCAUAGUGUACUUUGGGAAGAUUCUGCUAUUCCUUAUUCAGGAAUACCUUAUAUUGUUAUUUCAAAUAAAGUUUUAGAUUGUCAC